rnacentral:misc_RNA from 1 species
GUAUUGAUUGCGUAUCGCAAAGUGGGGUCAUUCUACACUUUUUAAAAGGGGUUUGUGUGAAAACGCAAGCCCCCCUCCCGGAUCGGUUUGAUCCCAAAGGGUUGCCCACGCGGUGGUGCACAAAAGGGUGAGAUGGAUUUUUAUGUGAGAGGACACACUCUGGCGUGCACGACUCUUGUGGUAAAAGUCAGCGACAGCCCUCGCAUGCCUCACACAUUUUGUACGAUAAUGAUCCUUCCGCAGGUUCACCUACGGAAA